CUCAGCUGAGCUGCUAUGCAGGACAUCCUGCUGCUCUGAGGCUGCUGUUAUCGAGAGACUGCAAGUAGGCUCUCUGGCCACAGUCCCAGCUAAGCCCAGGUUCCAGACAUGUGAGUGAAGCUGUUUUGAACAUUUCAGACAAGCCCACCUAACAGCUGAAUACAUCACUAUGUGGAAAGAAAGCUCACCUUCCUGACCCCAGCCCAAAUUCCCAAUCCACAAAAUAGUAAGAGCGUGGCUCAGAUGGAUGUGCUGGAGGAAAUGCACCAGGAAAUCCUGACCAGGGUGCAAUCAGUCACUGUUAAUGCUCAUAAGUAUCAAAGCUACUUGAAGAAAUACAGCUACUUAUAAAUGGGCAAUAAAGUUGAAUUCAUGAAGCA